rnacentral:rRNA from 1 species
CGUACGGCUCAAUAUCAUGUGGCUAACUUAGCCUUGGGACGGAGACACCCUCGGGAAACUGAGGUCAAUUUCUGAUAGAGGGGGAGGCCUGGAAUGGUUCCCCUUCCAAAAGGAACCGAGAACAUGCUUUCGGUUUCGCCCAAGGAUAGGGCCGCACCCGAUCAGGUCGCUGGUGAGGUAAUGGCUCACCAGGCCUAUAACCGGUACGGGCCGUGAGAGCGGGAGCCCGGAGAUGGGCACUGAGAUAAGGGCCCAGGCCCUACGGGGCGCAGCAGGCGCGAAAACUCCGCAAUGCGCGAAAGCGCGACGGGGUCAUCCCGAGUGCCGUCCGCUGAGGGCGGCUUUUGCCUGGUUUAACCAGCCGAGUGAAUAAGGGGAGGGCAAGUCUGGUGUCAGCCGCCGCGGUAAUACCAGCUCCUCGAGUGGUUGGGACGAUUAUUGGGUCUAAAGCGUCCGUAGCCGGCCGGAAAAGUUUUCCGUUAAAUCCAACGAUCCAAUCGUUGGGCUGCGGGGAAUACUCUUCGGCUUGGGGGCGAGGGAGGUCGGCGGUAGUCUCGGGGUAGGGGCGAAAUCCUAUAAUCCCGAGAGGACCACCAGUGGCGAAGGCGGCCGACUAAAGCGCGCCCGACGGUGAGGGACGAAAGCUGGGGGAGCGAACG